AUACUUACCUAGACGAGGAUAAUGGGUUAUCAUAAAGGUCCAAGGCUUAGUUUAGUGACCUCUACUGCACUUAAGAGGGGUACUCGCCUAAUGUCUCCCCAAAGUGGGAGAGCCUACGUUAUAAUUUGUGGUAGUGUGGUUUGCGUCCACGCGAUCACCGU